ACAUUGGAAGAUUCCUCAUUUGAACUCUGCUUUUCUUCAUUUUAAUACAAUCAUUGCUGUCUCCAGUUGUCGGCAAUUAUUCUAUGAUUAUUAAUCCUAUGAGAAACCGUGAAUUCAAUAUUUUAGUUGUUUAGAGUUUGUAAUGAAAAUUGGACUUUUGUUAUAUAUAUAUUUUCUGAGUAGAAUACAAUCAUACAUACAUCUUCCCCUGCAAUUCGUCCAUCCCCCAUAAUUUCCAUAAAGAGACACUGAUUCAAACUAAGAAAUUGAAAGAAACCUCAAAAAUUGAAGAAAAUGUGGAAAGUGAGAUAGGAAGAUGUUCCCCUCUCAAAAAAAUCAUAACUAGGAUUGUUUCCCCCGUAUUUUCCAUAAAGAGACCCUCCUUCUUUACAAAUCUUUUGUUUGAAUUUGGCUGAAGAAAUAGCAUUCAUCUUCAUGAGCAAAUCAGGAGACAACAUGUUGACCACUGGAUCACAAAUCCAUGAUUGUUAUGAGCACUAUGAGUUGAAAACAUAUGAAAAGUUGUUCUGGUGCGACGGCUGCAAGAUGAACGGGUUCGGAGAAUGGUACACUUGCAAUCUCUGUGGUCACGGACUACACAAGGACUGUAGGCAACCCAAAUCUAAAGUUUCCCAUGAGAAUUUUGGUGGCUCCAUCUUCAAAUUUCACUAUAAGCCAUUCACCAGAUUGGGUAAAAAAUAUCGCAGAGAGUUUUCAAGGAUCUGCGAUGCAUGUGGAAAGGUCAUAUGCGGUUUUAACUACCACUGUGAAGAAGAGAACUUGGAUUUACACCCAUGUUGUGGAAAAUUGGUAAAGGAACUGGUGAUUGAUGGUAUGAUAUUUGAUCUAGAGGCAAAGCUUUCAUCAAAGUGUGGAAUGUGCGGACAGAAGAAGAUUCCUCGUGUUGAGAACAAUGUUCCGGGAUGGUCUUAUGUUUCCCAGUGCAAAAGGUAUCAUUUUCAUGUGUAUUGUAUGACUGAAAUGCUACACGAGUCUCACAUGAAUAGUUCGGAUUUGGCAUUGGAGAAUAUGAAUUUUAGAGAAUUCAGUAAUCACAUCGAAAAUUCACUCAAAGGAGAUGAAAAAUUUGAAACAUUUGUUUUACAGAGAAUACUUGUUUCAACUAUCCCUGUAUAUAUGGAACCAUGCGUCCGUUAUGACCUAGAAAUUGAUUUACCAGAUGAACUCAAGCUUUCAGCAAUCAGUUGCAAAAUUUCUAGGUCUCCUCAAGCAUACAGAGCAUUCUUUGAGUUACUGAUGUCAACUGUGCAAGAUCUGAGGGUAGUCUUCACAAUCCCAAAGCAGCGAAUGUCCAAGAUUACUCCUACUCCCCAUCCGAAUGAAGUUGUCAUGGUGUUUAUUGACUUUCUCGUCCAACUUUUAGAAGAAAUUAUGCGCCUUGAACCAGAUUUCAUUGUUCCAGUCAAGGGUUCAAUCAAAAACCUCCAGACAGAACUUGAAUUUCUUAUCAGCUUUCUUGGAGAUGCACCGUUACACACUGAGGUGGACGUAACAAAGAAUAUAUUGUCAGAUAUCGAAGUUGUUGUCAAUGAGGUUGGAAGUUUCUUAUAUUCAUUAUUUUCAACAAGGGAUGACAGAGUCCUGGAGACUGUAAGAUUGAGUUUUUCUCUUUCUGAUUUCUUACAAAAGUUUGAGAUCUUGAAAACAAAGAUCAAGGAGCACUGCACCACAGUCCCAAAGUUACCAGGUUGUGUCGCUACAAAGAGUAGUGUGAUUUCGUUCUUCACUGUGGAUUCUCUCCUUGAUGAUCUCGAGGACCUGAUCAAUUAUAAGGCUGACAGGAUUGUCCCCGCGAAGGAUCAAAUCAUAACGCUCUAUGAGAAGAUGUCAUCGUUGAGAUCCACCCUCAAUUAUAUGGCCGUGGAACGGCACUUACAACUUGAGGAUCUUGCGAUGAAAACCAGAUACUUAGCAUAUGAAAUUUCAUAUGUUAUCAACUCGGUUACUCCUGCCUCAUAUCUCACCCUCAGGCUCUCUCAACUCCUCGAGAAGAUUCAUCUUGUUAAGAUGGCAAUACAAGAAAAGAAGAGCAGUAGUAUUGAUGCUGGAAUACCUGAAGAAGAAUAUCCAUGUGAGCAAGUACAGCCUCAAGCUAAAGAACUUAACAAUUUGGAAGACGAUUUAGUGGGUUUCAAGGAUGAGAAAACCAAAAUUUCUGAUCAACUCACCAGUGGACCACUAAAGCAACAAAUUAUUUCCAUUGUUGGAAUGCCUGGACUUGGUAAGACUACUUUAGCAAAGAAAUUGUUCAAUGAUCCUUCCAUUGUCCAUCAUUUCGACAUAUGUGCUUGGUGUGUGGUUUCUCAAACAUAUAAGAAGAAAAAUGCAUUGAUUGACAUUUUGACAUCGACAAGAAACCAUAACAGACAAACAAUCAAGGAGAUGGAGGAAGAAAAGUUGGCUGAAAUGCUUUACAAAAGUUUAAAAGGAAUGAGAUACCUUAUUGUCAUGGAUGAUGUAUGGGACACUAGACCGUGGGAUGAUUUGCGAAGAUAUUUUCCAGAUGAUAUAACAGGAAGUAGAAUCUUAUUCACAUCUCGGAACAAAGAAUUGGGUUUCGAUAAUGUUGUUAAUGAACUUCCGUUCCUAUCAGGUGCUGAAUGUUGGGAAUUAUUACAGCGGAAAGUGUUCCAAACAGAACCUUGCCCUCCAGAAUUGCAAGGGAUUGGUCAGCAUAUUGCCUCAAGAUGUCACGGUCUACCGAUGUCAGUCAUUAUGAUAUCUUCCAUUCUUGCAAAUAUGCAGAAGAAAGAGAGCUCAUGGGGAGAAAUAGCGCGACAUUUAAAUGCACACAUAUUUGACAGCACAAAUAAUUGCGUCCAUAUACUGAAACUUAGUUUCCAGCAUUUAUCAGUUCAUUUGAAACUAUGUUUUCUAUAUUUUGGAGUAUUUGAAGAAGAUGAAGUAAUCCCAGUACAGAAGUUGAUAUCUCUGUGGGUUGCCGAAGGGUUUAUAAACAAAGAAACCCACAGGAGCUCAGAGGAUGUGGCACUCGAUUAUCUAGUGGAUCUAAUUAAUAGGGGUCUGGUACUAGUUGCUGAAGAAAGAUCAAAUGGUGGAGUCAAAGCUUGCAGGAUUCAUGAUCUACUGCAUGAUUUAUGCUUGAGGAUAGCCAAAGAAGAAAACUUUAUGGGAGGGAUCGAAAACGGAUAUUCGAAGUGCAAGAAAGAUAAGAGUAUCUUGGAUAUGCAGCGUCUUUGUUUCCUAAGACCAUUUGAUCCAUAUGUUCACUCUCAGUUAGGCCGCAGGGUCAUGGAUUUGUCAGGACCUUAUUGGGAUUCAUUUAUCAGUUGUUCAUUUAAAGAUGUACGUGAAGGAAUUGAAAACUUGGUUCACUUGAGGUACUUGAAAGUUCAAGAAGAACUUAAACUGCCAUUAAUAGAAAAACUCCACAGACUAGAAUAUCUUCACGUGGAGAACAGAGAUGAAGUUGAAAUACCUGAUUUUGUUCUUAACAUGAAGUAUUUGAAACGUCUGCAUUUUGGAGGUGGUGCACGCUUCAGUGAAUCUUCUCAUUUAAGAGCAACUACGGAUGGAAGCUUCCAAAUAAAUAACCUACAAUCUAUUUCUACACUUCUUAUUCAUAAUGAAAUAGAUGCAAAAGUUUUGGGAUGUGCUCCCAAUCUCCGCAAAUUGAAAUGCAAGCUCGUGUCUCAAUGGCCUUUCCAAUUCCCCAAUCAACUUGAAUCUCUCGAGAUCAGUUUGAUGAGAGAUUCAGGUCCCGAUUUUCCCUUGAAUCUCAAAAAAUUGACCCUAUUGCAGUUUGAUUCGUCGUGGGAAAAAAUUCGGAUGAUUGGGAGAUUGCCAAACUUAGAGGUUCUCAAAUUACGUAAUGGUUCCUUCAAGGAAAAGCAAUGGGACACAGAAGUAGGUGAAUUCCAAAAACUCAAAUUCUUCGAGCUAAAUAAUGUGAAAAUUGCAAGCCGGUAUGACUGUGCAGAAUGGAAUCCCACAAGUGAUGAUUACCCCAAACUAGAACGAUUAGUGUUGCGAAAUUGCUACUGUUUGAAUAAGAUCCCUUCCAGUUUAGGUUAUAUUUUAACCUUACAGAAGAUUGAGGUAUAUAGAUGCGGAGACUCUAUCGCAAAAUCUGCUGUGGAAAUUCGGGAAGAACAAGAAGAAAUGGGAAAUGAAGAGCUUAAAGUUAUCAUCUCUCACAGGCGAUUCAAAUAGAAUAAACAGAGCAUGAGUUUUGCAGGGGAUGCAAGAAGUCUUUAGCAAACUCUUGGAAGGAACCAAAUCGUACGACCUUUCUCGGAAAACCUGUGGAACAAUGGCCGAUUCCUCAACAAUUACCUUGGGGAUGCUAGGAAGUUUUUAGCAAACUCUUGGAAGGAACCAAAUCGUACCACCUUUCUCGGAAAACCUGUAGAACAAUGGCCGAUUCCUCACCAAUUACCUUGGUAUAAUAGACUACAUGCAUCCUGUACCUUUACUUUUUUUUUAUUAUUACCUUUUUUAAUUGUGAAUUCUUAAUAUUGUGCCCUUUUUCUUUUUUCCUCGCUUAUACAUGCAAUAGGUGGGUUACUUUAUGUGAGGUGGAUAGUUUGUAAUAUUAUUGAGUUCUUACUUUUCUUUUUCUUCCAAUUAGUGCUUGCCGAAUUAUUCCAUCUUUCUCUCGGUAAAGUUAUUAUGAGAUUUUGUUUUGCCAUUAAA